ACCGACAAGCCGUACAGAGUCUGCAGCAGCCGCCUCUGGUUUGUAAGCGGUAAACACGGCCGCCACCCCUUUCUCCCGCCCACAUUCCCAGCGCAGCGGCCUGAUCUCCACCUUGGCGCUGAAGCCAAGGGAGGAACGGCCUGGUCAGCGCAGGAGCUGCGAGCUCCGUCGGCUCUGGAUGAGGGGGAGAAGGCAGACAGCAGGAGCAGGGGAGAAGGGGAUACUGAGGAGUGGCUAAGCUUUCCUUGGAGGAAUUCGACCUGCAAUCAGCUAUGUGGAGGAUCAUUCUCCUGUGGGGCUGCAUCCUUCUCCUGCCUAGCGCGGCUGGAAUGCCUGCAAUGCUAAACUAUGCUGUGGCAAUACCAUCGCAGCUCUACCACCCAUUCUCAGAGACAGUGUGUCUCCAGCUCAGCAGAGAGCAAGCAGUCCCAAUCCAUGUAUCAGUCACCUUGCAAAGCAGAGCUGGGAAUGAGACUCUGAUCACUCAGUCCAUCUCUCAGCUCCCCUUCUUCCAUUGCAGAAGCUUCCAGGUCCCUCCUCCUGUUGGAAACCCCGAUGAAGUGGCUUUUGUUGUUAUCACAGUCUCGGAAGCCAACUCAGAGUUCCAGAAGAAACAGAAAGUCCUAAUCAAGCAUGCAGACAAGAAGACUUUUAUCCAGACAGACAAACCUGUGUACAAACCUGGACAGAUUGUCAAGUUGCGGAUUGUGACCUUGGAUCAGAAAUUUAUUGCCAGCAGUGAAACACAGCGCUUGGUGGAACUGAAGGACCCCAAAGGGAACCGGAUUGCACAGUGGCUGGAUGUUACACCUGUGGGAGGCAUUGUGGAUCUGUCCUUCCCGCUGGCUGCAGAAGCACCGCUCGGAGAGUACAGCAUCAGAAUACCUGGCCUCACACGCACCUUCAGGGUAGAGGAGUAUGUGCUGCCCAAGUUCAGUGUCUCCAUCCAGAUGCCUCAGGUGGUCACCAUCCUAGAGGAAAACUUCCCUCUCCACGUCUGUGGCAUGUACACCUAUGGGAAAGCAGUCCAGGGUAGCGUGAAGGCUGUGGUGUGCCGUAAACACAUCCGCUAUAACCGCAAGUCUUCCAAAGCCAAGCGCAGUAUUUGUAAGGAUUACACCGGCGAGACAAACGACGAUGGCUGCUUUUCCACUAAAGUGAAUACUAAGGUUUUCCUCCGGAAGCAUGGUGAUAAUUAUGAUUUCAAUCUGGAAGCUGAGGCUUUUCUAAAAGAAAGUGGAACAGGGGUGGAGUUCAACACCACUGAAAACUGCAAGGUCACUUUUGAUAUCACAGCUCUCCAGUUCUGGGGGACAAGCUACUACUAUCAGCAAGGAGCUCCCUACUAUGGAAAUCUGGAACUCAGAAGUGCCAAUGGGACACACAUGAAGAACAAGAAGGUGAUUCUUACAGUGUCCUAUGGGAGCAGGAAGCAGACCAAGACCUACCUCACAGAUGACACUGGGAUGGCCUCCUUCGUCUUAGAGACAUCAGCAUGGGUCAACAGCAGUAAAGUUAUACUACAGGCAAAAUCCCAGCCAGAGGACUUGAACAGUAAAAACGUGAAGGUGUCUUACGGCACCGCAUCGCUCCCACUGACGGCCUCCUACUCCUCCAGCCGCAGCUCUGUGAGGAUCCAGCCCGUGCGGGCAGUGCCAGCCUGUGGGGAUGUGCAGCAGGUCACUGUGCACUACCACAUCCUUGCCACAGAGCUGGGCCACCGGGCUGCCAGAGCACACUUCUACCACCUGGUUAUGGCCAGAGGGUCCCUCGUGCAUCAUGGCCAAACAACAGUGCUUCUUGAUCCACCAUCAGGUCAGUACAGUGGGGCUUUCAAUGUCAGUCUGCCCAUUGAUCUCAUUUCAUCCAUGGCUACCCUCUUUGUUUACAUUGCCUUCCCUGAGGGACAAGUGGCAGCAGACACCCUCCGUCUGAAAGUGUCCAGCUGCUUCAGGAACCGUGUGAAGCUCGGCUUCUCGGACGCAGUGGCUCUCCCAGGAUCGGCUGUCCGUCUCCAUCUGCAGGCUGCGCCAGGCUCCCUGUGCAGCAUCCGUGCAGUAGACAAAAGUGUCCUUCUCCUGAGGCCAGAGGCUGAGCUAUCCAGGGAUAGUGUGUAUAAUAUGUUCAGCUAUGCUCAGGAGCAGCUCAGCACCCUCACAGAUGUGUACAGUGACUAUUGCACUGUCCACAAGAGCCCUGGAAUCACUGAUGCCUCUCAGACAACCCUUUCACCAGGAAUGAUGUCACCAUUCAUGUACAACAGAUACUCUUAUGCAGUGUCCCAACCAGAUGUUUAUGAAUUUCUUAAGAAUGCAGGUCUAACAUUUUUAACCGGCCUUAAAAUCAAGUCUCCAAUUGAAUGCCGCACCCAGACCACUUUUGACUACGACUACAUGUCUUUUGAUGAGCUGGCAGACUUGGAGAGCUUGUACCCAGAAGCAGAUGCUGCUGUUGAAGCUGCUGAGGCAGAGCUCACCGAGCUGGGCAGCGAGUCAGCACCAGCACGCACCUGGUUCCCAGAGACAUUCAUCUGGACUCUGGUUCCCAUCAAUGAUUCAGGGGCUGCUGAGCUAGCUGUCACAGUACCUGACAGUAUCACAGACUGGAGAGCCAUGACCUUCUGCACCUCGGAGAGCCAUGGCUUGGGAAUCUCAGAGACCACCAGCCUGCAGAGCUUCAAGCCCUUCUUUGUGGAACCCACUUUGCCCUAUUCUGUUUUCCGGGGAGAGUCCUUUCCCCUGAAAGUCAAAGUCUUCAGCUACCUGAAGCAGUGCAUGGCGCUCCAGCUUAGCCUAAUGGACUCCAGGGAUUUUGAGUUUCUUCAUGAAAAUGUCAGGUUCACUCUUUGCCUGUGCCCUGAUUCAGCAAAAACAUUUUCCUGGGAUGUGAAGGCUACAAAAUUAGGGAAGGUGAAUUUCACUGUCACUGCUGAGGUGGUGGAGCAGGAAGAUGUUUGCACGGAGCGUACAGCUGUUGUGCCUGAGUCUGGAGGGAAGGACACAGUGGUUAAACACCUGCUGGUGAAGGCAGAGGGGCAGCUGGAGGAAAAGACCCACACCUCAUUCCUGUGCCCUGAAGGAACUUCAGCUUCAGAGACCAUCUCUUUCACUAUGCCAGAGAACAUUGUCCUUGGGUCAGAGAGAGCCCACAUCUCUUUCUUAGGUGACAUUAUGGGAACAGCACUGGACAACAUAGAUGAGCUUCUCCAGAUGUCCAGUGGCUGUGGUGAGCAGAACAUGGUUCAUUUUGCCCCAAACGUCUUUAUCACGCGAUACCUUGAAGAAACAGGACAGCUGACUCCAGAAAUCAAACAGAAGGCAAUUGGCUAUCUGGAAAGCGGAUAUCAGCAGCAGCUCCUGUACAAGCACACAGACGGUUCAUACAGUGCCUUUGGGGAAGGAAGUGAGCCAGGAAACACUUGGCUUACUGCUCUUGUCCUGAAGACCUUCAGCCAAGCCCGGGACUUCAUCCACAUAGAUGAACAAAAUAUAAAGGAUGCUGCCAGUGCCCUGAUUAAAAGUCAGACUCCAUCUGGCUGCUUCAAGAGUGUGGGGAAGCUCUUCAACAAUGGUCUGAUGGGUGCAGUGGAGGAAGGCCUGGGGCUGAGCUCUGUGAUCGUGGUGGCUCUCAUACACUCGGGGAUGCCUCACUCCGACCCAGUUGUGGUGAAAGCUCUGAAGUGUAUAAGGGACCUGGUCCAUGCUGAUACUGGCAGUCCCAACCUCUACAGCCUGGCACUGGCUGCAAACGCCUUUGCAGUGGCAGGGGACAAGGCCCUCAGGCAGAAAAUCCUCAAAAGAUUGGAUAAGGCUGCCAUAAUAUCAGAUGACCAAAUAUUCUGGAGUCAACAGUCCAAACAGGAAGAAGAUUCCCUAUCUUGGUAUCGGGCUCCAUCUGUUGAUGUGGAAUUGACAUCUAGUAUCCUCAUGGCUCAUCUUACAAAGUCAAGUUUGUCAUCAGAUGAAAUCAAAAAGGCAUCCAAGAUUGUGUCUUGGCUCACCAAGCAACAAAACCCAUAUGGAGGCUUUGCUUCAACCCAGGACACCGUUGCUGCUCUGGAAGCCCUAGCCCUCUAUGCAACCAACAUCUUCAGCAAGGAUAGCCCUGAUCUCCAGGUUUCUCUCACUUCCAAGGGUUUCAGCCAAAACUUCCGAGUAGACAAAAGCAAUCGGCUCCUGCUGCAGACAGUAGAGCUGCCAGCCAUUCCCCAGGAUUAUACCCUGCAUGUGCAGGGCCAUGGGUGUCUUUUCCUGCAGGCCAUCCUGAGGUACCACAUCCCUCCACUGAGGAGCGAGGCCACCUUUGCUGUAUCCGUGCAGACGGAGUGCACCGUGCCCGACGCCUCCCGGUUCCCCGUCACCAUUCGUGCUCGCUACACAGGGAACCGUGUGUCCACCAACAUGGUCCUGAUCCAAGUGGAGCUGCUGUCUGGAUACAGCCCCGUGGCAGGUUCACUGGAAGAGCUAAAGAAAAUGCCUUUAGUGAAGAAAGUUGAAAGCAAAGCUGACCAAGUCGUUCUCUACCUGGAGGAACUGACUAGACAGCCUCAAACCUACACUUUCCUGGUGGAGCAGGACAUGCAAGUGAAGGAUCACAAACCAGCCAAUAUCAAGAUCUAUGAUUACUAUAUGCCAGAAGAAACUGCAAUGAUGAGCUACAGUGUCCCAUGCAAGUGAGGUGAGGGCCCAACACCUCUUUUAUUAUCACAGGCAUGGUCCUGAAGAAUAUGGAAAGGAACAGGGAUAGAUCCCUCCUCUGUAGUCUCUCCCCAUCAGUCCUUUGUCGCCCCUGCCAACUGUCACCACAUGGAGAUACGAAGAAAAGAGAAAAUGCUUGGAAUUUCCUGCUGAGCAGUUAGUUUCUGGAAGGCUCAGACUGUGUGUGGCAUCUUAUUAAAAGUAGAAGACUA